GCCGGGUGUGGUGGCGCACACCUGUAAUCCCAGCUACUUGGGAGGCUGAGGCAGGAGAAUCGCUUGAACCCGGGAGGUGGAGGUUGCAGUGAGCUGAGAUUGUGCCAUUGAUCGCGCCAUUGCACUCCAGCCUGGGUGACAGAGUGAGACUCAGUACCAA
rfam:Homo sapiens chromosome 19, GRCh38 reference primary assembly.